rnacentral:rRNA from 1 species
GACGUAGGGUGCGAGCGUUGUCCGGAGUUACUGGGCGUAAAGGGCGCGUAGGCGGCUGCCCGCGUCGCACGUGAAAGCCCCCGGCUCAACCGGGGAGGGUCGUGCGAGACGGGGUGGCUAGAGGCAGGGAGAGGCUGGUGGAAUUCCCGGUGUAGCGGUGAAAUGCGUAGAGAUCGGGAGGAACACCGGUGGCGAAGGCGGCCAGCUGGCCCUGACCUGACGCUGAGGCGCGAAGGCGCGGGGAGCGAACGGG